rnacentral:SRP_RNA from 2 species
UGGCACCGCUAGGCGGGAGGGUAGCAGUCUCCUAUACAGUAAAUCUGCUUUACGGCUGGCUGAAUGUUUGGGGCGGCUUGGUGCGCAGCUAUUGUCUCUUGCUAGGGCGUCGAAGCUUCGCCCUGUGGGGCUGAAUGCUUUGCAAACCGUGUGAGGUCCGGAAGGAAGCAACACUAAGUAAAACAGGAGGUGCUCGCAGAAAGCGGAGUGGAGCUCUAUUAAGAGGUUAACGAUAGUAAGCGGCCAUUCCCACUCAGGCUGCGGUGCUA